GUUUCAAGAUAUUUUUUUCAAGAACAAAAAAUCCCCAUGAAUCUCCUCUCAAGAAUCACCAUUCAUGGCCUUCACCACCACCACACCCUCCCCUCUCUCUCUCCUCCCCACUCUCUCUCUUUCCCCCAAAGACCCAAUCUUUCCCUCUCCAAACCCAAAUUCAAGCCAAAUAAUUUCAGGGUUUCAAGUCUUGGAGAGGCCUCAUCACACUACACUAACAACUUGAAGAAAAUAUAUAGUGAUAAUGAGGUGAAAGUGGAUGGGGAGACUUAUGAUAAGACACUGAGAUUAGUGGAGUGCUCCAUGUUUGCUGCACUUGGUGGGUUGGCUUAUGUACUCAGCAGCUCUCUUGCUAUUGAGAAUUAUUUUGGCUGUUUCUUCGCCUUGCCGAUAGUGUUCUCCUCUAUGAGAUGGGGUUUAGCUGCUGGCAGAAAAACGAUGGUUGCCACUGCUAUACUGUUACUUGUUUUAGCUGGCCCAAUCAAAGCUUUAACUUAUUUGUUGAUGUAUGGAUUACUAGGGCUGACAAUGGGUUCAUUGUGGAGGUCAAAGGCAAGUUGGGGGCUAUCUGUUGGUCUCUCGGCAAUGGCACGGGCGUUGGGUUCCUCAGCAUAUGUUGUAAUGUUAUCGUUCUUAAUCAGAGAGAACCUCUUUGAUCACGAUCAAUCUUCAUGCUAUUCUCUCAUACAUCCUCACGUCAUUUGGUAUUUUUACAAUUCCAUCGAUGACCACCAUAUACAUCAUCUUCGGAACUCUGGUUUUUAUCAAUUGUAGCUGCUUCGUGUUUUUGCUCCAUCUUCUAUACUCAGUGUUCUUCACUCGGCUUGGAAUGAAAGAAUCAUUAAGCUUGCCAGGAUGGUUGGAGAAAGCAAUAUAAUGUAAAAUGAUAGUAUGUACUUAAUUAACUGUAGAGAAAUUUAUUCAAGAAUAUAUUGGAAAUGGAAAUGUGUCAGAACUUGUAUAUAUACCUUCAUUAUUGAAUUAAAUAAAUAGUAAAUGCCCUUUUUGGACAACUUCUGGAAAAAAG